rnacentral:rRNA from 1 species
GUUACUAAUACAAUACUUUCCGCCAGAGAACUACAAGUGAAAAACUUGAAACUCAAAGGACUUGACGGUGUCCCAUAUCGACCUAGAGGAGCCUGUCCUAUAAUCGAUACCCCCCGUUCCACCCAACCUCAACUAGCAAAAUAUCAGCCUAUAUACCGCCGUCGACAGUUUACCCUAUGAAGGCCCAAUAGUAGACACAAUAGCCCUAAACGCUAAUACGUCAGGUCAAGGUGUAGCAGAUGUUGAGGAAGAGAUUGGCUACAUUUUUUAUAAUAAAAAACACGAAUUGCACUAUGAAAAACUGCAUGAAGGUGAAUUUAGUAGUAAAACAGAUAAGAGUGUCUGUUUUAACAACGCUCUGGGACGCGU